CCACCCCAGAGUCGCGGGAACACAUUACAAAUGGGGUCAAUUGAAUCAACUCCGCUGAAAAAAAAGGCAGGAGAGUUUUUAAGCUGUGGGGAAGGCAGAAACUCUGCAGGAUGUUAGGGAGAUUGGUCACUGUGAUUAGGACAUUUUGAGAAGGAAUUGGUGUUUUAAUUACUUUUACCCAAUUCUGAAGAGUCUGACCCAGAAGACUUCUUAAUAGAAGAGGAAGUGCAAAAUCAUGUCAGGUUGAAUCUCAACCUCUUUGUUCUUCCAGCAUCUUACUUGCCUUGGAAGUCAUCCAGCAUCUCUCCUUUCCCUUAGUCCAUUCUGUUGAAAAGAGAAGGAGACACGAUGAGAAAUUAUUGUCUAGUAAGGAUAUAAAUGCAGUGAAGACAUAAUUUAAAAAUAAAGAUAAAAUAUCACAA